rnacentral:misc_RNA from 1 species
UCACUCUUCAAGCCCUCGGCUUGGUGUUGAACGGUUUGGUUUUGGUGACAAGACCCCUCCUAAAAUCAAUGACGGCGGCCUGUUCGACCCCCGGUACACUGAGCUUCUUAACUGAGCACGUAUCGGUCUAGGGUAGACCAGGACCCGGUCUUCUUCUUUAACCGAAAACUCUUUCCAAGG